CGACCUCAGUUCAGGUGAGAUUACCGGCUGAAUUUAAGCAUAUUACUAAGCCGAGGAAAAGAAACUAACAAGGAUUCCCCUAGUAGCAGCGAGCGAACAGGGAAGAGCCCAGCGCUGAAUCCCCCGGGCCUCGCUCGGCGGGAAAUGUAGCGUUUGGGAGGGCCCGUCAACACGGCGACUCGCUCACUGGUUCAAGUCCAACUUGAAUGGGGCCACACAGAGGGUGACAGGCCCGUAGAGCAGGAGCGGUUGUCGUGUGGGUCUCUCCUUAGAGUCGGUUUGCUUGAGAGUGCAGACUUAAGUGGGUGGUAAACUCCAUCUAAGGCUAAAUAUGACCACGAGACCGAUAGCACACAAGUACCGUGAGGGAAAGGUGAAAAGAACUUUGAAGAGAGAGUUCAAGAGUACGUGAAACUGAAGUGGUGUAAACGGACGAGUUCGAAAAGUCCGAAUGGUGAGAUUCAAGCUUACCGUGCCGGUGGCCCUCGGGUUCAGAUGGCGUCGUCAGCUCGGGCUUCGGUUCGGGUCAUACGGCGUCACUCGUCCUGGGGGUAUCUGUCUGGUGCGGUGGGCUGCACUUCUCGCCUAGUAGGACGUCGCGACCCGUUGGGAUGUUCCGUUCACUGGCCCCUGGUGGAGCCCGCGCCGGAGCGUGGCCUUGUGCCGCGUUGCUGUUUGCACGGACCCGGGGUGACCUGAUCGGCGCCCGACGGUAUCAAAGCUUGGGAAGAGGCCGCACAGAGGAUGCGUUCGAUGGCCGUUUCGGCCUACACUCGGACAGGCCUGCACCCGGUCAGCGGCGCUUCUGCUUUCGAUACUCGUCCGACCCGUCUUGAA
rnacentral:ncRNA from 1 species